rnacentral:lncRNA from 1 species
CUAAGCCUCACUGCUGUGGAGGGAAACUACAGAAACCCAAGCCAGGCUCAGCCUGUGCAGCCUAGGCUCAGCGCUCAGGUGUCAGAGCUCAGAAGGGCUGGGAGGGGUGGAGGAAGGGCUCAGCUUAGCACAUGGGGGUGUGGGGGAAACAGGAUGAUCUGAUAUCUGAUUUGAGGAAUCAGAUUUCCCUGCCCUCCUUUUCUCAUCAACAAUAGAAACUUUAUAAUGGACCAGAUGUCUGCAUGGGGCCAAAGGAAACACUCCAAAGCCCAGGACUUCCUCAACGGUAGCAAUCUCUGACAAGAGAUUGUAUGCUAUUUAUCGGAUAGCAAAUAUCCAUUUAGAAACUUUUGCUUUGAGACAGGGUCUUGAUAGAUAGGCUGACUAGAACUCAGUCUGCCAGCUUUCCGCACAGUACUGGGAUUAGUGUGGCACCACGCUCGCUUGGGCAAACUUAGAAACUUUGAAGGGCACUCACAGGUUUUAAAAAUAAAUUAGGGCCUGUGAGAUGACUCAGAGUGUAAAGGUACUUGCCACUAAACCUGACAACCCAAGUUUGAUCCCCUGGACACACUUGGCAGAGGGAGAGACUGACUCCUGUAAGUUGUCCUCUCACUUCCCCAUGAGUGCUAGGGGCAUACGCCCUCCCUACCAAUGAAUUAAAUAAAUGCAAGAGGAAAAAACAAAACAAAACAAAACAAAACUCGACACACAGAGCCCCAGACACCUCGCUGUUCUGUAAGGAUUGCUCCAACCCUUGGAAAACUGUUAACAGUUGCCUUGAAGGAAAAGGAAAAGGCAGGCAAGCAGAUGAGUACCCACAGGGGCUGCAGAGCCUGUGACAGCCUUCUCAGGCGAAAUGCAAACAUCCUCCCCUCCCCGCAGCAAAUCACUGAAUGCUGGCCAGGUCACAGGCCGUAGGGAGGAGGGGUAGAAAGUGCAAUCAGAAACAAAAUCAUUUAAGUGGCGAUUUUACCCAGUCACCUAGAGCAACCUCUCACGUGACUGCAUGCAUGUGCGUGCACGCGCGUUUGCAAGAUACUUUCUAAUACCUAAUUUUCUUCUGGACAGAAAUCAGAAUGGCUUUUGCGGGGGCGGGGUAGGAAAAUUAAAGUAAGCAUAUUAUUUGUUGGUUGUAAUGAGAAAACUGCGGCUAGGGACGGCAGCAAGGGUCUGGUGGGUGUGGUUUUGAUUGAUGAAGAUUGAAUGAAUAUCCAUGGCUAAACUGAGGCUAAACUGGGGUCCAUGGAAGGCCGGUUUCUUUCAUUACUUUGUAUUUUUAAAUUGUCUUAAUACCAAGUAGAUUCUCUGUACAAACUCAAAUACGCUCGGGGUCCUGGGCUGAACCAGGGGUCCGCUUUCCCCCUGUCCACAGCCAGCUUUCCCUGACUGAGAGCAUCAUAUAAGCAUGCCAUGGGUCAGGCCAGUCUCAGGAGGACCAGAUGAACGUUUGCUCAGCAAUGCUUUCUCUCACCAUGAAGCUGGGGCUCAGGGGACUGAGGGGUUCCACCACCAGCAGCCCCUGGUUUUCUGAUCCUUAAUUUUUAAAGUCCCCUUACACUAGACAUCAAAGCCAAGUCCCCGUUUUAAAGCCAGUUUGGGGAUAAAGGUGAUGCUGGUUUUUAUCAAUCGCCCUUUUCUGGCAAGGGCCUCAGUUUGAUUAUUAGCUUUUCUCUAAGCUCAGGGUGGGCUCUGGCUUCAGCCCGGGGAGUUCCUAACCCACAACGGGGAAGCCAGUGGUCUAUACAGGUCUUCCCAGCUAUGGAGAGGGCUCACCCUUGGUGUCUAUGAGAUCUCCUGCAGGAAAGGUUAUUUCAGAGCUUCCGCGGACCCUGGGAGAGACCCGAUGAGCCACUACACACCCAGGAAGGCUGCCCCGAGGGUCCCGUCACCCUGGGCUUCACCGACUUACGCUUCAAAAUGUUCCUCUGUUCCAGUUCCUCUGCAGUUGGUCUCUGGCUCAGCCGCCUACGGAAAAAAUCCAAGAAAAGUUUUUGGACCAUGUCAUAUCCUCCUGGGGCCGGUGAGCUCCACGGCCCUAGCAGAUACAUUAGGCAGGGUCAGCAGCUGGAGUCCUCCGUCCAUUCUGUGUUCUCAGACACUGAUUCGCUGCUGGGGCCUCCUCAGUUCCUCAAUUUCAAGGCUCAGGGAGGGCACCCUGCGUCAGGUCACGCAAAGCUGCCCUCCCUCCCUCUGCAGGCCCCUCCCCAGCCCUGUUCCUCCAGUGCCCCCGGGGCCAGGAGACCGAAACUUAGCCUAGGCCUUUCCUCUUCACAGAAGUCCCUUUCUUUCCUUGUAGCCUAUUGACUGCAGGGCUGCGUGGCCUCUUGCCUUUCCCUCUCUGCCUCUGGGCUACCGCUUGCUUCUUUCUACCUUUGUGCACACCCAGAGCACAGAGGCUAGUGGCCUGAAGGACAUGCAAGAGAGGGUGUCUGUCUACAGAGAACAAUGGCUACUCUUCUUCCUGUCUCCACCCAUCCCCACCAGAGCCUUAUUAGACAUUGGAAUGCCAGAUGAACAGGCACAGAAAUGACUCUUAUUACCGGGUGCAUAAUUAAGUCAUAGAGAACGCAGCAUCAUACAUAGCAGGGGCAGGAAGUUCUGGUGGUGCCAAUGUGGAGAAACAGGGACAGGCACAGGUGACAAGUUACUGGAAAAGGGGAAUGGCUCCCAAGGAGAGAACCACUUAGGAGGGAAGAUGCCACACAGAGUGGAUGCCACUGGGGGAAAGGAACAUUUGCAUUUUCCAACCUUUUGGCAGUCCCUGAUCAACCCUGCAGUUGUUCAGUAUCUAUGUUUUGCCCACUAGGUACUGACAAGGUGUGUGCGGGAUGGGUGCAGUGGAAGGGAUUCUAAGCUCCUCCAAGUCCUCUCCUGGGACACAACGGGUGGAGAGGCACACGUUCUUAAUCAAACAGUGGGACUCAUUCCCCAAACUUCUGAAGCUGAGGUCUGUAUUCGGCAAGAUGUUGACUGCAAGAAGUCUAGAGAGUUCCAGGAUGUGAGAAAGUCAUAAAGAUAAGGUGGAGUUGCUUUGGCCAUGCUCUAGCAACAAGACUCAACCAAUUAAAUCGAGCCUGGCUUCCACGGAGACUGCAAAAAUCACAACCGCCUACAAAGUCUGAAGAUCUUAUCAAUGAAGGACCAUAAGAAAAAUAAUCAAAUUAACACAAGUUUCCUGUUGGUGUGAAGAGACUCCAAAAAUUAAAACAAAAACCCAACUUUCUACUCCCCCAAGAAAACCCCAAUGGCAGAAAGAGAUGACCGGAAGAUGCUUUAAAUAACGAAGAUCGAAGAUCAGGGAAUACCAGCUUUCUGAGUCACAGCCUCUCCCUGGAGAGGUGAAAAAACCCUGUAGGCUCUGACUCCGUUCUGCAGCACAGAGCUCAGGAGCGCCCCUUGCCAGAAGAGCAUCAGGACCAUAGCUCUUGCCGGCAUUUACAACUGCUGCUUGUUGGGAGAGCCCUGAUUCUCAGGUCUGUGUCUGCACCCCAGCACCAGAGGGAGGCCAACACAUUUCAGUCAGACGGAAAGAGGAAAGACAGAGGAAGCCAAGGAGACAACAGAGGCAAGGUCCUCCCUCCUAUGACGGAACUGGUGGCAUUUCCUAAUGCUGCUGCUAUACUAAAAUACCAGAGGCUGGGUAUUUUAUAAAGGAGAAGGAGUUUACUUAGCUCUGGAGGCUGAAAGCAUAGAUCACAUAAGUCCUUAGGAAUGGUGGGA